GGCCUCUUGGUCCAGUGGUUAAAGACGCUCCAGUCAAAUAACCGUUGCACUGGGGGUGGAUGGUAGGUGGGAGUGCCACAGCCACCGCCCGACCUUGUCGGGCUACCAGCCUCCUGUGUGGCGGUUGGGUAACUUGGAGAGACCGAGGUUCAAGUCCUUGAGGGGCCA
rnacentral:tRNA from 1 species